rnacentral:lncRNA from 1 species
AAAAGAGCCAUUUGGAGGUGCAACUCUCUUGUGAGAAGGUUUCCACAUAAACAAACUUUGAAAUAGAAUUGCAAUUGUUCACAUGGAUGUCUGUAGAUUCCAAGUGUGUGGUAUGUUUCAUGGAGUAUUUUUUUCAUCAAUAUCUGUCGAGGAUUCUUCAAAUAGCCCGGUGCCUCUCUCAGAAUCUAUUAAGAAGCAGUUUCAGGAAUGUAGAGCUCUCCAGAGCCCCAUUUCAGCUGCUACAGUAAGGUGAAAAAACUGAAGGAGAGUGACUUAUUCUAAGUCACACCCUUAGGAUCUGGCAGAAAGAAAAAUGAACUGAGGCUUUCUGGAUCCUUCCUACUUUCUACCUCUGGCUGCUGCCUCUCUUGGCCACUCUAGAGCAUCGUGUGAUGCUGUGCCCCCCGGUACAUAGUUGUAUAUUCUUAGUUGUGGAUCCUUCUAGUUGUGGCAUGUGGGACGCUGCCUCAGCGUGGUUUGAUGAGCAGUGCCAUGUCCGUGCCCAGGAUUCGAACCAACGAAACACUAGGCCGCCUGCAGCGGAGCACUCGAACUUAACCACUCGGCCACGGGGCCAGCCCCUCAAUGUUGUCUCUUGGAUGUGAAGGUGAUGGUAUGGCUCCCAUGAAAGGCGGGUGUGAAUCCAUUCAUCUCAUCGUCCCUCACGUGACAAUGGUGGACAUUUCCAAGCUGUUUGGGAUUCAUGAGUAAUGAAGCCUUGAAAUGAAGUAAAACAAACUGGUCCUUCUGGCAAUGAAGUCUUUUUUUCGUCUUAUGAUCUACUUUAGAGAUCAUUUUUUAAAAUUGAGUUCAUAAUAGCUUACAUCAUUGUGAAAUUUCAGUUGUACAUUAUUUCUUAUCUGUCACCACAUAAGUGCUCCCCUUCACCCUUGAGCCCAUUCCCCACCUCCCUUCCCCUGGUAACCAGUAAACUGUUUUCUUU